GAUGAACGCUGGCGGCAUGCCUUAUACAUGCAAGUCGAGCGAACGCACGAGUAGCUUGCCUCUCUGGUGUUAGCGGCGGACGUGUGAGUAACACAUGGAUAACCUCCCUAUGAGACUGGGAUCACUUCGGUAACCCGGAGCUCAUACCGGCUAAUAUUUUGAACCGCAUGGUUCAAAAGUGUAAGCGGGUCUUGCUGUCGCUUAUAGAUGGAUCCGCGCUGCAUUAGCUAGUUGGUAAGGUAACGGCUUACCAAGGCGACGAUGCGUAGCAGACCUGAGAGGAUGAUCAGCCACACUGGAACUGAGACACGGUCCAGACUCCUACGGGAGGCAGCAGUGGGGAAUCUUCGGCAAUGGGCGAAAGCCUGACGGAGCAACGCCGCGUGAGGGAUGAAGGUCUUCGGAUUGUAAAACGCUGUUAUAAGGGAAGAACAGAUGUGUAAGUAACAGGGCACAUCAUGACGGUACCGAAACAGAAAGCAACGGCUAACUACGUG
rnacentral:rRNA from 1 species